UACGGAGGGUGCAAGCGUUAUCCGGAUUCACUGGGUUUAAAGGGUGCGUAGGAGGGCAGGUAAGUCAGUGGUGAAAUCUCCAAGCUUAACUUGGAAACUGCCGUUGAUACUAUCUGUCUUGAAUGUUGUGGAGGUGAGCGGAAUAUGUCAUGUAGCGGUGAAAUGCUUAGAUAUGACAUAGAACACCAAUUGCGAAGGCAGCUCACUACGCGAAUAUUGACACUGAGGCACGAAAGCGUGGGGAUCAAACAGG
rnacentral:rRNA from 1 species